GAGCACUGUUCAUAACUUAUUAACUUAGCUAUAGCUAACAGGUCCCAUUCCAGUGCAACAGCAUUUCCAGCAACACAUGACUGACGGGGCUUUCAGUUUCAGGUCUUGGAGAUAAAU
rnacentral:snoRNA from 1 species